GCCUGGAUGGCUUAGUCAGCUAGGCAUCUGACUUCAGCUCAGGUCAUGAUCUCGCGGUUCGUGGGUUCGAGUCCCGCGUCGGGCU
rnacentral:tRNA from 1 species